CGCCGGCAGCCGCGGAAGCAGCAGUAGCCAGCGAGGGCGCGUCCCACACCGCGCACCACAAGCCGACACCGAGCACCAGACAACAGGAAUCUGGCCUUUGGUGGAGCCACUUUCUACUCUUUUAUGCAAGGAGUGGACAGAAUCUACAGGAAGUGCUCGCGUCAUCUGGAGAAACGGCUGUUCAGGCAAAAAGGAAGGGGAUGGCGGGUUGAGAUGGCGGCGAGUGCUUGGCUGGAGGCGGCGUGGGCGGCGGCGCUGCUGGUGCUAGCGCUUGCGGGGACGGCGGAGGCGGUGGGGGCGGAG